AGGUCCAAUAGCGUAUCUUAAAGUUGUUGCGGUUAAAAAGCUCGUAAUUGGAUUUCUGCCGAGGACGACCGGUCCGCCCUGUGGGUGAGCAUCUGGAUCGGCCUGGGCAUCUUCUUGGGGAACGUAACUGCACUUGACUGUGUGGUGUGGUAUCCAGGACUUUUUACCUUGAGGAAAUUAGAAUGUUUCAAGCAGGCGCAUGCCUUGAAUACAUUAGCAUGGGAUAAUAAGAUAGGACCUCGCUUCUAUUUUGUUGGUUUCUAGAGCUGAGGUAAUGAUUAAUAGGGAUAGUUGGGGGCAUUCGUAUUUAACUGUCAGAGGUGAAAUUCUUGGAUUUGUUAAAGACGGACUACUGCGGAAGCAUUUGCCAAGGAUGUUUUCA
rnacentral:rRNA from 1 species